UAAUAAAAAAUUAUAAUUUUUAUAAUACUUGAAAAAUUUAAAAUUUUUAAUUAAUUUAAAUAAUCUCAAACUGAAAAGGAAUUAAUAAAUUAUUUUUUAAAAAGUAAAUUUUAUGUACCUUUAGUAUUAGGGUUUUUCAAAAUAAUAUAAAAAUUUAUUUUUCUCGAAAUAAAUAGAUCUAAAUUUUUGGGAAAUAAUUUGUUUCAAAAAAUUAAUAAAAUAAAAUUUAGAAGUGAAAUUCUUUUCAAAAUUUAUGAUAACUAGUUUUUUUAAAAAAAUUUAAAAUUUUUCUAUUAAAAAUAGAUAAUAAUUAUAUUUAAUAGGUUAAUUUCUUUGGGAUAAGCUAGAGAAAAUUUUUAUAAUAAAUUUUUAAAUUUUAUAAAAAGGAAUAAAAUUUUCUUGUUAAUUUUUAUAAGUAAUUUAAAGUAAUUUUUAAAUAAUUAAAUAUUUUAAAAAAAAAAUUAAUUUUCAUUUUUUAUAAAAAUGAAAAAAUUAGUAAAAUUUAAUAUUAAUAUAAAAAUAUUUAAAUAUAAAGAAGUAAUAAUAAAUAAUUUUAAAGAAUUAGGCAAAAAUUUUUUCUGACUGUUUAUUAAAAACAUUUUAUUUAGAUAAUAUAUUAAAUAUAAAUUCUGCUCAAUGAAAUAUUUUUAAAUUGCUGUGGUAUUUUGACUAUACAAAGGUAUUGAAAUAAGACUUUAAUUGAGUGCUAAGAGAAUGGAUUUUCAGAAAAUUUCUUUUUUAAAAUUAAUAAUUUAAUUUAUUUUUGUUUGUGAAGAAGCAACAAUAAAAAUUUAGGACAAGAAGACCCUAAGAAUUUUUAAAAAAUAAUUUUAAAUUUAAAAUUAUUUUUUUUAAUUGGGGCGAUUAAUAAAUAUAACUAACUUUAUUUAAAAUAAAUAUGAACCAUUAUUAAUGGUUAAAUGAAUAAAAAUACUCUAGGGAUAACAGCGUAAUAAUUUUUGAUAGUUCUUAUAGACAAAAUAGUUUGCGACCUCGAUGUUGGAUUAGGAUUCUUAUUUAAUGAAGAAGUUAAAAAAAGAAGUUUGUUCAACUUUUAAAUUCCUACAUGAUCUGAGUUUAGACCGAUGAGAAUCAGGUUGGUUUCUAUCUUAAUUUAUAAAAAAAUUCAAUUUAGUACGAAAGGAAUAAUUGAAUAAAAUUAUUUUUUAAGAUCCCUAAAAUUUUUGCAUCAAUUUUUGGAAUUA
rnacentral:rRNA from 1 species